UACGGAGGGUGCAAGCGUUAUCCGGAUUCACUGGGUUUAAAGGGUGCGUAGGCGGGCCGGUAAGUCAGUGGUGAAAUCUCCGGGCUUAACCCGGAAACUGCCGUUGAUACUAUCUGUCUUGAAUAUCGUGGAGGUAAGCGGAAUAUGUCAUGUAGCGGUGAAAUGCUUAGAUAUGACAUAGAACACCCAUUGCGAAGGCAGCUUACGAAACGAUCAUUGACGCUGAGGCACGAAAGCGUGGGGAGCAAACAGG
rnacentral:rRNA from 1 species